rnacentral:rRNA from 1 species
CCUACGGGAGGCAGCAGUGAGGAAUAUUGGUCAAUGGCCGUAAGGCUGAACCAGCCAAGUCGCGUGAAGGAAGAAGGAUCUAUGGUUUGUAAACUUCUUUUAUAGGGGAAUAAAGGCAUCCACGUGUGGAUUUUUGCAUGUACCCUAUGAAUAAGCAUCGGCUAACUCCGUGCCAGCAGCAGCGGUAAUACGGAGGAUGCGAGCGUUAUCCGGAUUUAUUGGGUUUAAAGGGUGCGUAGGGUGUUGUUUCAGUAAUCGGUGAAAGUUUGUGGCUCAACCAUAAAAUUGCCGUUGAUACUGGAUGACUUGAGUGUGUUGGCGGUAGGCGGAAUGCGUGGUGUAGCGGUGAAAUGCAUAGAUAUCACGCAGAACUCCGAUUGCGAAGGCAGCUUACUAAGCCAUAACUGACACUGAAGCACGAAAGCGUGGGGAUCAAACAGGAUUAGAUACCCUAGUAGUC